CCACUAUGUAUGGCUGUUAACAUCGAGGGCCCGAUACUCAGACCCUCCGCCUGGGGACUACGAGCAUUAGCUUAAAACCCAAAGGACUUGGCGGUGCUUUACCCCCCACUAGAGGAGCCUGUUCUAGAACUGAUAACCCCCGUUGAACCUCACCAUCCCUCGUUUAACCCGCCUAUAUACCGCCGUCGUCAGCUUACCCUGUGAAGGCCAAAUAGUAAGCAAAAAUGGCUAAGCCAAAAACGUCAGGUCGAGGUGUAGUGAAUGGGAUGGGAAGAAAUGGGCUACAUUCUCUGCCACAGAGAAUACGAAUGGCAGCCUGAAAACCCUGCCUGAAGGUGGAUUUAGCAGUAAGGAAGGAAUAGAGUGCCUCCCUGAAAACGGCCCUGAAGCGCGCACACACCGCCCGUCACUCUCCCCAAAUAAUUAUAGAUAUUACCUAAAAUGUUUUACCAACCAAGGGGAGGCAAGUCGUAACAUGGUAAG
rnacentral:rRNA from 1 species